UGUAGCUCAGUGGUAGAGUGCUUGUCUCGCAAGCAUGAGGCCCUAGGUUCAAUCCUCAGCA
rnacentral:tRNA from 1 species